UACGGGGGGGGCAAGCGUUGUUCGGAAUUACUGGGCGUAAAGGGCUCGUAGGUGGCCAACUAAGUCAGACGUGAAAUCCCUCGGCUUAACCGGGGAACUGCGUCCGAUACUGGUGGGCUUGAAUCCGGGAGAGGGAUGUGGAAUUCCAGGUGUAGCGGUGAAAUGCGUAGAUAUCUGGAGGAACACCGGUGGCGAAGGCGGCAUCCUGGACCGGUAUUGACGCUGAGGCGCGAAAGCUAGGGGAGCAAACGGG
rnacentral:rRNA from 1 species